CAUGCAAAUACUAGCUAUAUUUAGUUUAACUUUACACAGAGUGCUUCGAUUUUGCCACGUAUAUAGAUGUGCAUUGUCUGAUCUCUUCGAUCGCUCUUAAGGUCAACAUUUGCUAUUUUUAAAUUCAGAACAGGUAAAUUUGAAAAAAGAAAGAUGUCGGAUACAUAAAGAAGGCGAGAAAGAAGAAUCAUGAUUGUAAACACUUGAAGCCUCAGUAUAAAAGAUUUUUUGAAACACUUGUUUGGAAUUUUAAAGCCAAAGUCUUUAUCAUAAACGAGAGGUAGUUUCAAAACCCGAGAUGAAACAACGUCGUCGGUGACAAGGUUGUAUCCCUGACCAAUAAAUUCAGCUACAAGAAACAGACAUCAAGUUUUUCAAAAUUACGUUUAUUCACCAUGAACGAUAAAGUACUUAAUGAUAUCAAUUGGAUUAGCCACAAUAUCAUUUAUGAUUGACUUUUAUUAUACAUUUGAUGUCCGCUAUAAGAGAGAACAAUGUAAAAAAAUACCUUCUUGAAAUGA